UCUCCAAGGAUGACCAAUAUGCUCGAAGACGAUGGCGGCAAGUACAAUAUAUUGCAGAUCUGUUUUGGACCAGGUGGCUCAGAGAGUACCUACCAUCACUGCAGAAUCGACAGAAAUGGUCAAGACCAAGAAGGAAUCUUCAAGAAGGAGAUGUCGUCUUGAUUGCAGAUGAUGCUGCUCCGCGGAAUUCCUGGGUAAUGGGACGGAUCAGUAAGACUUUACCAGACGGCAAAGGUGUGGUAAGGAGAGCUAUUGUGCAGACGAAGACCAACAAGCUGGAUAGACCAGUCAGCAAGCUUUGCUUGAUACUAGAGUCAGGAUGAAAAUGGCUCUAGGACUUUUGAAUUGGAUUCUUGAACUGUAUAGUUUUGAGUAUGUAUUGUAAGAUUACAUUGUUUGGCUCUUGUUUAAAUAAAGGAGUUUAGUAAUUGUUCUGCCCACCUGCAUAACAAUUAGGGGCCGGAAAUGUAAGAGCCAAUUUGAAGAAGAGUUUUAUUGUAUAAAAAUAUUAUUAUUUAGAAUAUUGUUUAUUUAAAUCUCUAAAUCCAUAAUUUCAUGUAUGGAGAAAUAUUAGUUAAUUCAUAGCUGUAAAGUAACUUGAUUGGUUAAAUGAGUGGAAUGUUUAGAAUCAGGAGAGAACGGUGGUCAUGUGACCAACUUGUGCUUGUUUAGUUUGAGAUGGUCAGGUUAAGGAGCAACACAGUUUUUCUGACCGACAAUACCAAUGCACUGAUUUACUGUUAUUAAGACCCAAAGAAUUCAUGUUUUGUUUGUACGUUACGUUUUUGUCAGUAAAAGUUUAAAAGGAA